rnacentral:rRNA from 1 species
CCGUGAGAGCGGGAGCCCGGAGAAUGGGCACUGAGACAAGGGCCCAGGCCCUACGGGGCGCAGCAGUUGCGAAAACUCCGCAAUGCACGAAAGUGUGACGGGGCUACCCCGAGUGCCGUCCGCUGAGGGCGGCUUUUCCCCGGUGUAAGGAGCCGGGGGAAUAAGGAGAGGGCAAGUCUGGUGUCAGCCGCCGCGGUAAUACCAGCUCUCCGAGUGGUAGGGAUGAUUAUUGGGCUUAAAGCGUCCGUAGCUGGCCUAGCAAGUCUUCCGUUAAAUCCACCGAUUCAAUCGUUGGACUGCGGGAGAUACUGUUGGGCUAGGGGGCGGGAGAAGCCGACGGUAUUCUCGGGGUAGGGGUAAAAUCCUAUAAUCCCGGGAGGACCACCAGUGGCGAAGGCGGUCGGCUAGAACGCGCCCGACGGUGAAGGGCGAA